rnacentral:rRNA from 1 species
UGGCGGACGGGUGAGUAACGCGUGGGAAUCUGCCCUUGGGUUCGGGAUAACAGUUGGAAACGACUGCUAAUACCGAAUGAUGUCUUCGGACCAAAGAUUUAUCGCCCAGGGAUGAGCCCGCGUCGGAUUAGCUUGUUGGUGAGGUAAAAGCUCACCAAGGCGACGAUCCUUAGCUGGUCUGAGAGGAUGAUCAGCCACACUGGGACUGAGACACGGCCCAGACUCCUACGGGAGGCAGCAGUGGGGAAUAUUGGACAAUGGGCGAAAGCCUGAUCCAGCAAUGCCGCGUGAGUGAUGAAGGCCUUAGGGUUGUAAAGCUCUUUUACCCGGGAUGAUAAUGACAGUACCGGGAGAAUAAGCUCCGGCUAACUCCGUGCCAGCAGCCGCGGUAAU